UUGCUUUGGCAGCACAUAUAUUAAAAUUUGAACGAUACAGAGAAGAUUAGCAUGGCCCCUGCACAAGGAGACAUGCAGAUUUAUUUUGCUUUCCAUAUAUUU